CGCGCGCACGCGCGGGGAGAGAACUCGAGGCCGCGGGGGGUGAUGGUGGUGGUUGCGGUUGUCGGGCCCGGCCGCACCGCGACUGUGCGGGCGGGCAGGUAAUGGUGAAGGCUGGGAAAGGGGCGGGGAGCUGGGCUCGUCCUGCCCGAGAAAGGGCUGUGCUGUGCUCUGGAGCUAAGGAUGGGCUUUGUGCCGAGGCUUUGGUUGUGCCGAAAGAGGAGCAGGUGGUAAACGCAAGGGAUCCGGUAAGGUGGCUCUUAAAUUCGAGCAUUAAACGGAGCGUUCCCAGAAAUGUGCCUUGGGCUGCUUUGCCCCAGCUCUGCUGGGUCGGUUUCCACAUCAGCAAAGAGGGAACCGCAGUGCGCGCACACAUUGCACGGAGGGAACGCCUGGUACCUCGCUUCAGCUGCUCUCAGGUUCUUGCAGUGGUCCCACAGCUUUGGGAUGCUGGCACGCAGCUCCGCACAGCCCUUCAGCCUCGGGGGCAGGAAGGACGACAGAGCUAAUGCCAUGAUCAAUGCUAAGAAAAAUACCCUCGAAAUUGGAUUUAUCAGCUGUGGGGGGAAUACCAAAAGCACGCUCACCCACCACCCCGCUGCCCAUCUCUGUACGCAUUAAACUCUGCCGUGUGGUGCAAGGACAGCAGGAUGAGUCACAGAGCCUUGAGCUGGAGGGAGCAGCGCCCAGCUGACCCCUCUGGUGGAGCUCAUUGUUUCUCCUCUCCCCCUCCCCAGUCUCAAACUAGGAAAUAAAACUAUAAAACUUCCACAAUAGAGGAAUCUUGCUUUUCCUUCCUUGUCCCAGCAAUGCAACAUGUCAUAACAAUUAGAAAGCUGAUAAAUAAUUUGAAAUCUUCCCUCUGCUGUGAUGCAAUCCCAGGAUAAGGAUACGCAUCCCUUUUCAGUGAUUAUGAUACAAUGAAUGCAAAAGAAAAAACCUCUCCCAUCUUUUGAAUCAACACAGAGGAAGAUAAACAAGUGUUUCAACCUUGUCUUGAUACUCAACUUUUUUUUUUUUUCCCCUGAGACGUUGUAAAACAGCACUGGCAUCUAUAAAGCAACAAUGUUCCUGCUUAUUGAAAUCCUUCCAAUUUCUAUCUUGCAACAUUUACAGCACAUUAAUUUGACACCAGUGACUUUUAGCUGGUGAGCUAUUGAAGUAUAAUUUUUUUUUUUCCCAGCAUCUCAGGGUUGGUGCAUAAACUACUACAUGAUUUUGCAAGCUUGGUCUAUCAUUACAUUAGAGUAGCUGGAUGAAUUCACAGGAGAAACGUUCUCCUCCUUGCAGACACAGCACCUGCAUUACUCUAAAGGGGAGCACAGCCUGCAUCCCCCCAGAUCAUUUUCUCAUCAUCUCUUUUGUAUGUGCUUGCUUUGGACCUACAGGGGAGCUUCACUCUGAAUUUCAGUGAGAAUGUACUCUGACAUUACAAAGCCCUUCCAAAACAGCUGUUCUGUCUGGUGCCUUUGAUAUAGACUGAUGCACUGCUUUGACCUGUCAAAGUAUUUCAAAACUAGCAGCAACCAAAAAUAUUGUAUUUUCUUUUAUGUAGCUCUCAGAGCACAGAUGGAAAGUAUGGUGGAGAAUCAGAUCAAAGGACUGGCUGCAAAGUCCUCACCUCCUAAAGGCUUAAAUGGUGUUAUCCAACUCUGCCUUUAUGCUUUUAUAACGGAGGUGGAAAGAAAGCCAGAAUAGAUUCAUGUAGAUUCACUUCACCUUUCAGAAGAACACAUAAUAAGUAAAGCUGUCAACCCUGCAUGGCUUUGGAAGGAACAAAUGGCAUGGAAAUGAGUAAAAAGGGAAUGAAAAAAAUUAAGAGAUCCAGUUUUGACAGUAUAGCUCAGAGCUAUGUUAGGUUAUUCUGCUUGUAAGAUCCUCAUGGGAUUCCCCUUGAUAAAAAAUAAUUAAAACAUGCUCUGACCAGUAUAUGACAUGAUUCUCUUCACUACCACCUAGUGGGAAACUCCUUCAUUAACUGAGCUCCACAGCUGUUCCUAUUCUCAAAGAUCCUCACCCUGAUGAUGGAGGCUGUGUGUAAGUGAAGGGAGAACUGACAGAUGAAUGAGAAGGACGCUGUCCUGAUUCUCUGUACCAGAAUAAGAAUUGUAAAGAGAGAGAUCACCUCUUAUUUAAGGCCAUUGGGUCCUAAGGCAUUGUCACACCAGAACUCCCCGCUCUGCAUCUGCUGUAGUUCUUAAUGGCUGCUACAGCUCAGCAUCACCAAGAAUCCCAAAAUUUAAACACAGCCUUUGGUCAUAAAGAGCAAAACAUUCAUUCUUCUGAAUGCAACUGCGUCCUGCCAGCAGUGAUGAGGAGGAAGUUGUUAGGCUGUUCCUGUGUCUCAGUCACAACAGAGCACUGCCCUCUUAAAAUCUUCUGAUUGUACUCUUAAUUGUAAUUGAAAAUAGGGAAGGAGGGAAAAAAAGAAUUUCCUUCUUUGUAAAGUCAUAUUUUCAAUGGUGUUACUAUUCAUAUUUACAACAAAGAUUACUCAAUUAAAGCAUUAAAUGUGUAUAAUUGGGAACAUUAACACGAUGUAUUCGAGUGAGUCCUUUCCCACUGAGAUACCCAGGCUUUGCACCAACACUGAAAUCUGUGUUGAAACCCUCUGGAAGCAAC